UACGUAGGGGGCAAGCGUUAUCCGGAUUUACUGGGUGUAAAGGGAGCGUAGACGGCGCGGCAAGUCUGAAGUGAAAGGCAGGGGCUUAACCCCUGAACUGCUUUGGAAACUGCCAUGCUAGAGUGCUGGAGAGGUAAGUGGAAUUCCUGGUGUAGCGGUGAAAUGCGUAGAUAUUAGGAGGAACACCAGUGGCGAAGGCAGCUUACCAAGCUACUUCUGACGUUGAGGCACGAAAGCGUGGGGAGCAAACAGG
rnacentral:rRNA from 1 species